rnacentral:ncRNA from 19 species
UAUCCCCUGCGUGACUGGCGAUAAGACCUUUCGGGGUCAAAGGUGGAGCGUCCCACCGUGAAGCGCAGGGCGUCGCUUUUGCCGUUCGCCUGGGCAGCCGUU